GGACCCGCCCACCUGCAUGCAGCUGUGGAAGAACAAGCCCAGACACGUUUCUUCACGGAGUCCAAGGAAAACACUUUACCGAACUCAUAUGGGAUGGCCCUGUAAGUUGUGCAGCACUGUUGUACCAACCAAGAGUGACAUUUUAAAGCAUUACAGACUGCACCAUGGGACCUUUGGACACAGCCAUUCCUUGCAUUGCAUUCAUAUUAAUGAAGCGGAAUCAACAUUUAUGUCACCACUGGACAGGUACACUCCAAAACUCCUGGAGCUCUUCAGUGCAAAAGGAGGAGUGACUGCAGCGCAUCAAGAACUUGUUGAUGGAACUGACACAGGACCCAAGUGCCUCUGCAGUGAAGAAGAGAGAUGUGACUGUGAGAUGCCUCAUAGAGUACAUGGGAGAGAGUGGACAGGAGCUAAUCUCUGACUACUGGAACUGCAGAGACCGCUGUUCAUGAGGACCUGGAAAUGAAGAAUAUGAGCAUCUACAUCUGUCGUGAGCCAAAUGCAGUAGGAAUCAUCAUUGAGGGAGUACCAGUCCUUACUCAUCUUGGAAACCUGGUCAAAGCAUGCUGCCUACUUCCGGGGUUGACGUAUGCACUUCAUCUUGAGUAUCCAUCCAAACUUUCCAAAACAUUUGAGGUGUUUCAAAGACUUUUUGUGGGACUUGACACACUGCGCCCAAAACCAACCCCCAAAUUCAUGACUCUCAAAAACAAGCUUCUAGCUUAGGCAGUGAGCCAUGACUGUCAGCUUGCACUUUUGAACAGCUAUUUUCUUGUGUCUGUUCAAAAUCAUUAUACAUUGUUCAUUGAGUGGAAUUCUUCAGAUUGUUGUAACGGUUUGUCCUGUUCAGGUUUUAUACAAAGCUCCAGGUCAUCGUUUCUGAUGUGUAAAUUAAGUUUUUUUAUGUUUUAUACACACUAAAUUGCCCCACUGUGAAGCUCCAGCUGGUCAGAAGGAGGGAUCUGUGAGUUGUUUAAGUUAAAAUGUUUCAAAAUAUACACACUGAAAGACACUACAGUGAAGGUGUUCUGCUUGUAAAUUGUUACAGAAGUACAGAUAAUCUUAAUGUUAAAUUGUUUUAGCAAGAAACUGUACUGUGAAUGUUCUAAGUAAAACUUGAGAUGCUGAGGUCAUGCAUUCUUUUAUGCACUAAAUACUGAUGUUCUUGACUGUUAAUACUGUCCAGCUUAUUGACAGGUUUGGAUAUGGCUUGUGAAAAUGUUUUAAUAUGUAUACGGUUAAAAAAAAGAAAACUACUGUGAAGGUGUUCUAUACAGCACUUUAAAAAGUUGAGGUCAUGCAUUCUUGUAUAAUAUGGAUGUUGACUGUUCAUACUGUCCAGCUCAUUGCCACUGUUUUUAUAUGGUAAUGAUUUAAUAAAGGUUGGAAUUUGA